rfam:Scleropages formosus scaffold1825, whole genome shotgun sequence.
CUGGGCUAUGGGGACAUGUACCCCCAGACAUGGUCAGGCAUGCUGGUGGGGGCCUUGUGUGCCCUGGCUGGGGUGUUGACCAUUGCCAUGCCCGUUCCUGUCAUUGUCAACAAC